AGCUCCAAUAGCGUAUAUUAAUGUUGCUGCAGUUAAAAAGCUCGUAGUUGGAUUUCUGGUAUGAUGCGCCUGGUCCGCCCCGUUUAGGUGUGUGAGUACCGGUGCGCGUCUGCCAUCCUUCUAGAGAGCGUGUCUACCCUUCACUGGGCCGGGCACGUCAUCUGGAUCGUUUACUUUGAAAAAAUUAGAGUGUUUCAAGCAGGCAUACUCGCUUUGAAUACAUUAGCAUGGAAUAAUAAGAUAGGACUUGGGUUCUAUUUUGUUGGUUUCUAGGACCGAAGUAAUGAUUGAUAGGGACAGUUGGGGGUGCUAGUAUUCCACGGCCAGAGGUGAAAUUCUUGGAUUCGUGGAAGACUAACUAAUGCGAAAGCAUUCACCAAGGAUGUCUUCUUUAAUCAAG
rnacentral:rRNA from 1 species